GUCACUGAAAAGAACAAGCACUGUUUUCCUCACUCACUUCAGCUUCUUGGACAUCUACCCAACAGCAAACAAGAAACUACAUCAACCAAUAUGACCACUGGGAAUCUAGGGAAAAGAUUUAUUUCAUCCAAAAUUUUGGACAAAUGAUGAAUGGUUACUGGCUAGAAUGAAGGAAGGCUCUCUCUGCCAGAGUGGGGCAAUGGAUCCCAACCCUCAGCAUGCUGAAGAACUGGUGGGAAAGUUCAGCGGAGGAUGGAGAUCUACCUUUUUAAUUAAUUCUAAUGCAAGUGAUUCUUGGGGCAGAAUUGGAGAAAUUCUGGGUACAAUUGGCAUGAACAUAAAUGUUCACUGAAGAAAACUUAACAGUGACAACUAAUAGGUACUGCCUACUUACUGAAUAUCAGGCGCAAUCCUAGAUGAUAUACCAUCUCAGUGAAUCCUCAGAUCAACACCAUGAAGCUGGCACUAUCACACCCCUAUUUGACAGGGGAAGAAAUGGAGGUACCAUGUUCCAGCAACUUUCCAAAGCUGCAGAGCUGGACGGAGUAGAGCAGGGGCCUGACCCCAAGCCCCUGAAUUGUAACAGAUAGCUUAAUCCUUCCAUUUAUCCAUUUUUGUAACUAAAAUGGAAUCAGGCUGUCAUUUGUCACGUGUUCUUUUCACUUAUCACAUGUGACCUUCUUUGAUGGACAUGGUUGACAGUGUUCUGUGCCCCACCACUAUGGGACAUGUGCUUUCACAGGUAUCCAAUGUUCUCUGAGAUAUCAUAUCUGGGAUGCCAGAUUCUAAACCCCAAAGCCUCAGGAACAUCAGGCUGUAGCAGCUUAAGAUGAGAAGACAGCAAGGUGUGUGGGUUGGUUAAGAGUCUGACUCUUGAUUUCGCCUCAUGUCAUGAUCUCACGGUUAGUGAGAUCAAGCCCCGUGUAGGGCUCUGCACUGACGGCAUAGAGCCUGCUUGCAAUUCUCUUUCCCCCU